AUCCAGUUGACGAGUCCCAAAUAGGACGAAACGCGCGUCGUGGAU
rfam:Schistosoma mansoni, Puerto Rico, WGS project CABG01000000 data, contig: 0195